ACUCGAGUGGCGAACGGGUGAGUAACACGUGGGUGAUCUGCCCUGCACUUCGGGAUAAGCCUGGGAAACUGGGUCUAAUACCGGAUAGGACGAUGGUUUGGAUGCCAUUGUGGAAAGUUUUUCGGUGUGGGAUGAGCUCGCGGCCUAUCAGCUCGUUGGUGGGGUAAUGGCCUACCAAGGCGUCGACGGGUAGCCGGCCUGAGAGGGUGUACGGCCACAUUGGGACUGAGAUACGGCCCAG
rnacentral:rRNA from 1 species